UUAAUUUGAGAGUUUGAUCCUGGCUCAGGACGAACGCUGGCGGCGUGCCUAAUACAUGCAAGUCGAACGAACUCUGGUAUUGAUUGGUGCUUGCAUCAUGAUUUACAUUUGAGUGAGUGGCGAACUGGUGAGUAACACGUGGGAAACCUGCCCAGAAGCGGGGGAUAACACCUGGAAACAGAUGCUAAUACCGCAUAACAACUUGGACCGCAUGGUCCAAGUUUGAAAGAUGGCUUCAGCUAUCACUUUUGGAUGGUCCCGCGGCGUAUUAGCUAGAUGGUGGGGUAACGGCUCACCAUGGCAAUGAUACGUAGCCGACCUGAGAGGGUAAUCGGCCACAUUGGGACUGAGACACGGCCCAAACUCCUACGGGAGGCAGCAGUAGGGAAUCUUCCACAAUGGACGAAAGUCUGAUGGAGCAACGCCGCGUGAGUGAAGAAGGGUUUCGGCUCGUAAAACUCUGUUGUUAAAGAAGAACAUAUCUGAGAGUAACUGUUCAGGUAUUGACGGUAUUUAACCAGAAAGCCACGGCUAACUACGUGCCAGCAGCCGCGGUAAUACGUAGGUGGCAAGCGUUGUCCGGAUUUAUUGGGCGUAAAGCGAGCGCAGGCGGUUUUUUAAGUCUGAUGUGAAAGCCUUCGGCUCAACCGAAGAAGUGCAUCGGAAACUGGGAAACUUGAGUGCAGAAGAGGACAGUGGAACUCCAUGUGUAGCGGUGAAAUGCGUAGAUAUAUGGAAGAACACCAGUGGCGAAGGCGGCUGUCUGGUCUGUAACUGACGCUGAGGCUCGAAAGUAUGGGUAGCAAACAGGAUUAGAUACCCUGGUAGUCCAUACCGUAAACGAUGAAUGCUAAGUGUUGGAGGGUUUCCGCCCUUCAGUGCUGCAGCUAACGCAUUAAGCAUUCCGCCUGGGGAGUACGGCCGCAAGGCUGAAACUCAAAGGAAUUGACGGGGGCCCGCACAAACGGUGGAGCAUGUGGUUUAAUUCGAAGCUACGCGAAGAACCUUACCAGGUCUUGACAUACUAUGCAAAUCUAAGAGAUUAGACGUUCCCUUCGGGGACAUGGAUACAGGUGGUGCAUGGUUGUCGUCAGCUCGUGUCGUGAGAUGUUGGGUUAAGUCCCGCAACGAGCGCAACCCUUAUUAUCAGUUGCCAGCAUUAAGUUGGGCACUCUGGUGAGACUGCCGGUGACAAACCGGAGGAAGGUGGGGAUGACGUCAAAUCAUCAUGCCCCUUAUGACCUGGGCUACACACGUGCUACAAUGGAUGGUACAACGAGUUGCGAACUCGCGAGAGUAAGCUAAUCUCUUAAAGCCAUUCUCAGUUCGGAUUGUAGGCUGCAACUCGCCUACAUGAAGUCGGAAUCGCUAGUAAUCGCGGAUCAGCAUGCCGCGGUGAAUACGUUCCCGGGCCUUGUACACACCGCCCGUCACACCAUGAGAGUUUGUAACACCCAAAGUCGGUGGGGUAACCUUUUAGGAACCAGCCGCCUAAGGUGGGACAGAUGAUUAGGGUGAAGUCGUAACAAGGUAGCCGUAGGAGAACCUGCGGCUGGAUCACCUCCUUUCUAAGGAA
rnacentral:rRNA from 2 species